CAAUAGCGUAUAUUAAAGUUGUUGCGGUUAAAAAGCUCGUAGUUGGAUUUCUGCCGAGGACGACCGGUCCGCCCUCCGGGUGAGCAUCUGGCUCGGCCUAGGCAUCUUCUUGGGGAGCGUAUCUGCACUUCAUUGUGUGGUGCGGUAUCCAAGACUUUUACUUUGAGGAAAUUAGAGUGUUUCAAGCAGGCCCACGCCUUGAAUACAUUAGCAUGGAAUAAUAAGGUAGGACCUCGGUUCUAUUUUGUUGGUUUCUAGAAUUGAGGUAAUGAUUAAUAGGGAUAGUUGGGGGCAUUCGUAUUUAACUGUCAGAGGUGAAAUUCUUGGAUUUGUUAAAGACGAACGAAUGCGAAAGCAUUUACCAAGGAUGUUUNCAUUAA
rnacentral:rRNA from 1 species